GUUCAAGCAGCCGCGGUAAUACCAGCACCCCGAGUGGUCGGGACGAUUAUUGGGCCUAAAGCAUCCGUAGCCGGUUCUACAAGUCUUCCGUUAAAUCCACCUGCUUAACAGUUGGGCUGCAGAGGAUACUAUAGAGCUAGGAGGCGGGAGAGGCAAGCGGUACUUAGUGGGUAGGGGUAAAAUCCGUUGAUCCACUGAAGACCACCAGUGGCGAAGGCGGCUUGCCAGAACGCGCUCGACGGUGAGGGAUGAAAGCUGGGGGAGCAAACCGGAUUAGAUACCCGGGUAGUCC
rnacentral:rRNA from 1 species